UGGCCCCUGUCCCUCUGAGUCAAUCACACCUCCCCACCUUGCUGGCGCUGUGCUGUAGACUGGCGGCUUUGUGGGGGUUCUGCUGGCUGGGCGGGUAACACGCCUGUGAAGACAUCCACAUCUAAACUCAUCUCACAACUGUUGGAGUGAAGAAAACUGUCGGAGUAAAGGCAUCUUUACGGUGGAUACAUCUGUUACGUAAUCGCCAUUACCGCGUGACCUCCAGAGAUCCACCCAGCUUCUGUCGCCAUGCCUGUUAUGUGGAAAUGUCCUGGUCAGCCCACCUGCAGGAAGAUAUAUCUCUACACCCGGGGUCUAAAAGCACACAUACCGAGCUGUAAAUAUGCACUCAGAAAAGAAGUCCGCAAGAAACGCGAGGACAUGGAGACGAUGUUGUCCAUCAUCCAGUUCGUGGAGGACCAGCAGAAAGGGAACGUGACGGUAUCCAGGCUGGGUGUGCCCUCAUUCAGGGUGGAGGGGCCUGUGUUCUCGAGGCUCCCCCUGGAGGCGAAGAGGACACGGUUGUCCCGAGUACAGAUGGGAGGGUAUCCAAUACUGGAAGAAAUACAGUCACGUGGUACCCCGGCUACCCGACGAACCCGGAUGUGGCUACCUGGAUAGUUUCCGUCGGAAGAUCUUUACUUUGGAUUCUAUUAACUUUGACAAUAUCAACAAACAAACGCCUCGGUUCCAAGUUAAAUUUCCAGACAUCGAAUACUCAAGUAUAUUUAAAAACACAUGUUUACCUGCAAAGUAAUCCAUUCUUCAAAUGACGCAUUUUCAAGUAUUCGUAAGCAUUUAGAUUUUACAUACUGUGGGUCGAUAUCCUCCACGGGUUCCUCCUAUGUAUUACGAGGGCUGGUAAAAAAAGUUCUAAGCCAAACAAAACCAACAUUUGUGAAAGUGUCGGCAGUCAUCAUUCCUCGCCGCUUUUCUUUGAUGGAGUCUCUGGGGCGAUGAAGCAAAUCAGCAUAGUAGACACCGGUAAUCGUCUUUUGGCUUUCUAAGUACAAGUAGUCACCAAGGAUCACACCCUUUGUGUCCCUGAAUACAUUGGCCAAACUUUCUUCAUUGGCUUGAAUUUCUUUGGUGACGGAGAAGUGGAAUGGUGCCACUCCAUGGAUUGACCUUUUGACUCAGGAUCAUAGUUGGUUAGGCUUAGAACUUUUUGACCAGCCCUCGUAUUGACUCUUUUAGAGCAUUGUGUUAGUAUUAGUUAGUAGAGGCGACUAUCCAUGCAUAUCGCAAUACUGUUGUGAUGAUACUGCAGUAUAUGUAAACUAUUAUAGUAUUAUUACGAUAAUUUAAGAGUCUCUACUAUUCUACAGUGUAGAUUUGGCUGAAGUAUUAGGCACAAUGUCAAAUCUGCUACAUUCUAUAUUCAGCAGACAUAUCUCACUUUGUGAUUUUAGUGAGAUAUGUUUUAUUAGAUUACCGCUUUAACGUUUUCUAGUCCUUUUCUAAUGGAUAAUAAAAUAAAGUAAAUUAU